rnacentral:rRNA from 1 species
UUGGUGGAUGGCUCGGCUUGGAGGGCGAAGAAGGGCGUGGCAAGCUGCGAAAAGGCCGGAGUAGGCGCAUGCAGCCGUUGAUUCCGGCAUCCCCGAAUGGGAAUUCCUGUUAUCUAGGUCGUAAGACCUAGAUAACGAUCCGAAAGGAUCGCGAACCACCCGAACGGAAACAUCCUAGUAGGGUGAGGAAAAGAAAUCAAUUGAGAUUCCCUGAGUAGCGGCGAGCGAAAAGGGAAAAGCCCAAACUGAACUACAUUGGGCGACCAAUGUAGGAUGUAGUGGUUGCUGACAGCAUUAUGGUAACUUUUCCCAUUAGCCGAAGUGGUCUGGAAUGACCCGACAUAGAGGGUGAAAUCCCCGUAGGCGAAAAUGGGAAAAGUUAUCGCUGUCAGCCAGAGUACUUGGCCUUGACAAUGGCUAAGGAAUAUGGGGGAAAGUGGCCUCCAAGGCUAAAUACCUUCCAAGACCGAUAGCGCACUAGUACCGUGAGGGAAAGCUGAAAAGUACCCCGGGAGGGGGGUGAAAAGAGCCUGAAACCAAAAGGUUACAGACGAGUGCGGCCUGAAAGGAAUGUAAAAUACUAAACAACAUUAUCUGUUGGGGAUUCUCUCCAGCAUUUAAUGUUGUUUAGUAUCAAGCAUUCCAAGGUCGCACGCUCCGUCUAGAAACACGGGCCGGGGAGUUUACUGUCACGGCGAGCUUAAGGGUUAAAAGCCCGAAGGCGAAGGGAAACCGAAUCUCCGCAUGGAACUAUAACGUUCCAGAGGGAGAGGGUCUGAAAGGGCCUUUAGUCGUGGCAGUAAGACUAGAAACCGAGCGAUCGUGCCCUGGGCAGGACGAAGGCGGGCGAAAGCCCGCUGGAGGUCCGAAAGGGUGCUGACGUGCAAAUCGCUCCCCUGACCUGGGGCAAGGGGCCAAAAGCCCAUCUAGCUCGGUGAUCGCUAGUUCCUCCCGAAAUAGAUCCCAGUCUAGUCCUGGCAGAUAGGGAUAAAGCUGUAGAGUGAGGAUAAGCGAGCAAGGAUCCGAAAGGGUCCACUCGCUUUUCAAACUCCGAAGGCUUUAUCCUAGAAGAAGCCGGGAAGCGGGUUUAUGUGGGGUAAGCCCCAUAACCGAGAGGGGGACAACCCAGACUAGAGUUAAGGCCCCCAAAUGUCGGCUAAGUGUCAAACCGAAGGGUGUCACCGAGCUUAGACAGCAGGGAGGUAGGCUUAGAAGCAGCCAUCCUUUAAAGAGUGCGUAACAGCUCACCUGCCGAGCUCGGUGGCCCCGAAAAUGGACGGGGCUUAAGCCGACUGCCGAUACUCUAGGUCACGGUCCACAAGACCGUGGCGGUAGGGAGGCGUAGAGGUUGGGUAGAAGCUGAGCCGUAAGGUUCAGUGGACCGACCUCUAGUGCAGAUCCCGGUGGUAGUAGCAGCAUAGUCAGGUGAGAAUCCUGACCACCGAAAGGGCAAGGGUUUCCUGGCAACGCGUCGUCGACCAGGAGUAAGCCGGUCCUAAGUCCACGUUCAACUUGCGUGGACGAAAGGGAAACCGGUUAAUAUUCCGGUGCCUUGGAUAGCACGCGUUACCAGACGAAAGUCUGGUAACACACUAUUCUUAGUGCGUUCAAGAUAGCUGGAGUGGAGCCGUCGCUCCAUUUAACUCUACAAGGUAGGAGGAGUGUCGUAAUGACGAGAAUCCUACCGAGUGAGGAAUAGCCGACCAUUUUGGUUGGUUCCAGCAAUUCUUGGACGCCAUGAAAACUAAGAAUAGGAGUGCUAUCCAAGACCGUACCGAGAACCGACACAGGUGCCCUGGGUGAGAAGCCCAAGGUGUAUCGGGAAUACCGUAGGCGAGGGAACUCGGCAAAUUAGCCCCGUACCUUCGGUAUAAGGGGUGCCUGUGACCUUGGCAAAACCAGGGUUGCAGGUCGCAGUGACAAGGGGGUCCCGACUGUUUAAUAAAAACAUAGGAGACUGCAAGCCCGAAAGGGUGUGUACAGUCUCUGAAUCCUGGCCAGUGGCGGUACCUAAAACCCGGGUACAACCGGGCUAAGGGCCGCUAAACGCCGGGAGUAACUCUGACUCUCAGCAUAAAAGGGAGUCACUAAACUCGGCUAUAUGCGGAGAAGGGUGAAACGAAGCCCCCCGAGAAGGGAAAAGUGGCAAGUUGAUGACCCUAUCCGCAGGGAACCCUCCGUCAAACACAAGCAUUUAUACACCACCGUCUAAUAAUAUACUGAGGCUCCAAUGUUACACGAAUUUAGUGACAUAAUUGAUGCAAAAAGGCUUCCAAAACGAAUGAAGUACCUACAUUACUACAUUUUAGGCUUAGUGGAUGGAGAAGGCUGCUUUUCCAUUUCUGUUAAAAAACAAGAUGAUACAAAAUUCGGAUGGGUGGUUGAUCCAGUGUUUCAUGUUACUCAAGCAAAAGAAAACUUUCCCGUUCUGGAAAUGCUCAGACGUGUAUUCAGAUGCGGACGUAUAAUACCUAAGCCCGGACAAGAAAAUACGGUGCUACAAUAUAUCGUCGAUUCAAGAAAACAGUUAGCAGAAAAAAUAAUUCCAUUCUUUAGAAAACAUAAGCCGAUCGUCAAAUGGAACGAAUUCGAAGCCUUUGCUGAAAUAGUAGAAGCACUUGAAAAAGGUGAACACAGAAGCUUUGAGGGUCUAAAAAGGAUUAUAGAGAAGGCCUACCAACUUUCUAGGGAUAGAAAGUACACAUUAGAAGAAGUUUUAGCAGAAAUUGAUCGACGGAGGGGCGCCUCAGAGACCAUACGCCGAGCGCCUAAGAGCGAAAUGAAUAUGAGCUCGAGGGCGAAGAUAUGGUCCAACACCUAAAAGGUGUUGCUUAAGGUAGCCAAAUGCCUUGUCGGGUAAGUUCCGACGUGCAUGAAUGGAUCAACGAGGGCCCCACUGUCCCCGCCUACUACCCGGCGAACCCACAUAACGUGGACGAACAGUCCACGAACUCCCAUCGGGGAGAGAAGUCCCUGUGGAGCUUUACUGCAGCCUGUCGUUGUGCCGUGGUCGGGGUUGCAGAGCGUAGCUGGGAGCCUUAGAAGGUGUUCCUCCGGGAACACUGGAGGCGCCAAUGUAACACCAGCCAACUCCGGCUACAGCACUAACUACGGGCAACCGUAGGACACCGGCAGGUGGGCAGUUCGGCUGGGGCGGCACCCCCUUGAAAAGAUAUCGAGGGGGCCCAAAGGUUGGCUCAAGCGGGUCAGAACUCCGCUGAAGAGGGCAAGGCCAAAAGCCAGCCUGACUGGAUUCUUCACAGAGGAGAAUCCAGAGGCGAAAGCCGGGCCUAGCGAUCAUUCGUGUCCCCACCAUUGGGGGCCGGAUGUGACAGAAAAGUUACCCCAGGGAUAACAGGCUCGUCGCGGGCGAGAGUCCCCAUCGACCCCGCGGUUUGGUACCUCGAUGUCGGCUCUUCCCAUCCUGGUCCUGCAGCAGGGGCCAAGGGUGGGGCUGCUCGCCCAUUAAAGGGGAACGUGAGCUGGGUUUAGACCGUCGUGAGACAGGUCGGUCUCUACCUGAUGGGAGCGGAGGGUGUCUGAGAGGAAGUUGUCCCUAGUACGAGAGGAACGGGGCAACGCAGCCUCUGGUGUACCGGCUGUCCGACAGGGCAGGCCGGGCAGCUAAGCUGUUGGGGAUAAGAGCUGAAGGCAUCUAAGCUCGAAGCCCCUCUCGAGAAAAGACACCCUUCCAUAGUGUCC